GAUGAACGCUGGCGGCGUGCCUAACACAUGCAAGUCGAACGGAAGGACACUAAGAUUGUGCUCUUACGGAUGGCGGGUGGCGUGCGGGUCACGAGUGCAUCCGAACCUUCUUUUUCGGGGAGGAUAACGUAAGUGGGGUUACGAUAGUACCGCAUAUUAUGUACCGUGGAGGGCAGUGGAUAUUCUCGGCUUUCGCGAUUGAAUUAGCCGAUGCCGGGGUAGCUAGUUGGGUGGUUAAAGGCCCACCAAGCCGACGAUCCGUAGCUGGACUGAGAGGACGAUCGGCCACACUGGAACUGAGACACGGUCCAGACUCCUACGGGAGGCAGCAGUGGGGAAUGUUGGGCAAUGGGCGCAAGCCUGACGCAGCAAUGCCGCGUGAGUGACGAAGGCCUUCGGGUCGUAAAGCCCUGUUGUUGGGAAAGAACAGCUGUCGCCUGAUACGAGGCGGUUGUGACGGUACCGAGUGAAGAAGCACCGGCUAACUACGUG
rnacentral:rRNA from 1 species